rnacentral:rRNA from 1 species
AUACGGAGGGUGCAAGCGUUAUCCGGAUUCAUUGGGUUUAAAGGGCCCGCAGGCGGGGAAAUAAGUCAGUGGUGAAAGCCUACAGCUCAACUGUAGAACUGCCAUUGAUACUGUUUUUCUUGAGUAUAGAUGAAGUGGGCGGAAUAUAUCAUGUAGCGGUGAAAUGCAUAGAUAUGAUAUAGAACACCGAUUGCGAAGGCAGCUCACUAAACUAUUACUGACGCUCAGGGACGAAAGCGUGGGGAGCGGACAGGAUUAGAAACCCUAGUAGUCC